AAGUCGUAACAAGGUUUCCGUAGGUGAACCUGCGGAAGGAUCAUUAAUGGAGUUUGCUGCUGCAAGCGCCCAACCCUGUGUUGUGUGUGUAUGCGUGUGCACGCAUUUUUGUGUGUGUGCACAUGUGCAUUUUUUCACCCACCCAUUUCAUUCAUAUUCUGAAAUUGUCUGCUCGUAUGUGAGCACAACAACCGAAAACUGCCAGCAAUGGAUCACUCGGUUCUC
rnacentral:misc_RNA from 1 species